GGGGGGGUAGCUCAGUGGCAGAGCAUUUGUCUAAUAUGUGCAAGGCCCUGGGUUCCAUCCCCAGUGCCACCA
rnacentral:tRNA from 1 species